rnacentral:ncRNA from 1 species
GAAAGGUCGGGUAUUUAUCCGGCUGGAUGUACCGAAUGUGUAUAUCCCAUUUAGG